rnacentral:rRNA from 1 species
AUUGAACGCUGGCGGCAGGCUUAACACAUGCAAGUCGAGCGGGGUGAUGGUGCUUGCACUAUCACUUAGCGGCGGACGGGUGAGUAAUGCUUAGGAAUCUGCCUAUUAGUGGGGGACAACAUCUCGAAAGGGAUGCUAAUACCGCAUACGUCCUACGGGAGAAAGCAGGGGAUCACUUGUGACCUUGCGCUAAUAGAUGAGCCUAAGUCGGAUUAGCUAGUUGGUGGGGUAAAGGCAUACCAAGGCGACGAUCUGUAGCGGGUCUGAGAGGAUGAUCAGCCACACUGGGACUGAGACACGGCCCAGACUCCUACGGGAGGUAGCAGUGGGGAAUAUUGGACAAUGGGGGGAACCCUGAUCCAGCCAUGCAGCGUGUGUGAAAAAGGCCUUAUGGUUGUAAAGCACUUUAAGCGAGGAGGAGGCUCUUUUGGUUAAUACCCAAGAUGAGUGGACGUUACUCGCAGAAUAAGCACCGGCUAACUCUGUGCCAGCCGCCGCAGUAA